CCCUUAGAUGUUCUGGGCCGCACGCGUGCUACACUGAACGGUUCAAUGGGUAAGGUAGUGCGAAAGCAUGACCUAAUCUCGAAAUCCGUUCGUGCUGGGGAUAGAAGCUUGUAAUUAUCCUUCUUGAACGAGGAAUACCUUGUAAGCGUGAGUCAUCAUCUCACGCUGAAUACGUCCCUGCCCUUUGUACACACCGCCCGUCGCUCCUACCGAUUGAGUGUUCCGGUGAGGCUUUGGGAGAAUGGCCUCAACAUGAGUUUAUCGUGUUUUGCCGUUUGAACUUAGUCAAACCUUAUCACUUAGAGGAAGGAGGAGUCGUAACA
rnacentral:rRNA from 1 species